UAGGAACCAGGAUUAGAUACCCUGCUACUUUUUGUUAAGAUAUUUUGGAGUAUUAGUAAUUAUGAAAUUUAACGGAUUUGGCGGCAAGACAAACCAUUUAGAGGAACCUGCCCUAUAAACGAUGAACCACGAGAUACCUAACUCUUAAAAGUAAACAGUUUGUAUACCGCUGUUGUCAGUCAGUUUUUUUAGGAAGCUUUCAGAAAUGGUAUAUCCAUAGACUUCAAGUAAAGGUGCAGCACAUAUAGGAGGCAGAGGUGGGUUACAAUUAACUGAAUAAUUACGGAGGGGAAAUAUGAAAAAUUUUUCUGAAGGUGGAUUUAAUUGUAAAAUUUAUGAAGUUUUGAUGUGAGUACUGUCUUGUGUACACACCGCCCGUCGCUCUCUUAUAUAAA
rnacentral:rRNA from 1 species